GACGAACCCUGGCGGCGUGCUUAACACAUGCAAGUCGAACGGAAAGGCCCUGCUUUUGUGGGGUGCUCGAGUGGCGAACGGGUGAGUAACACGUGAGUAACCUGCCCUUGACUUUGGGAUAACUUCAGGAAACUGGGGCUAAUACCGGAUAGGAGCUCCUGCUGCAUGGUGGGGGUUGGAAAGUUUCGGCGGUUGGGGAUGGACUCGCGGCUUAUCAGCUUGUUGGUGGGGUAGUGGCUUACCAAGGCUUUGACGGGUAGCCGGCCUGAGAGGGUGACCGGCCACAUUGGGACUGAGAUACGGCCCAGACUCCUACGGGAGGCAGCAGUGGGGAAUAUUGCACAAUGGGCGGAAGCCUGAUGCAGCAACGCCGCGUGCGGGAUGACGGCCUUCGGGUUGUAAACCGCUUUCGCCUGUGACGAAGCGUGAGUGACGGUAAUGGGUAAAGAAGCACCGGCUAACUACGUGCCAGCAGCCGCGGUGAUACGUAGGGUGCGAGCGUUGUCCGGAUUUAUUGGGCGUAAAGGGCUCGUAGGUGGUUGAUCGCGUCGGAAGUGUAAUCUUGGGGCUUAACCCUGAGCGUGCUUUCGAUACGGGUUGACUUGAGGAAGGUAGGGGAGAAUGGAAUUCCUGGUGGAGCGGUGGAAUGCGCAGAUAUCAGGAGGAACACCAGUGGCGAAGGCGGUUCUCUGGGCCUUUCCUGACGCUGAGGAGCGAAAGCGUGGGGAGCGAACAGGCUUAGAUACCCUGGUAGUCCACGCUGUAAACGGUGGGUACUAGGUGUGGGGUCCAUUCCACGGGUUCCGUGCCGUAGCUAACGCUUUAAGUACCCCGCCUGGGAAGUACGGCCGCAAGGCUAAAACUCAAAGGAAUUGACGGGGCCCCGCACAAGCAGCGGAGCAUGCGGAUUAAUUCGAUGCAACGCGUAGAACCUUACCUGGGUUUGACAUGGAUCGGGAGUGCUCAGAGAUGGGUGUGCCUCUUUUGGGGUCGGUUCACAGGUGGUGCAUGCCUGUCGUCAGCUCGUGUCGUGAGAUGUUGGGUUAAGUCCCGCAACGAGCGCAACCCUUGUUCACUGUUGCCAGCACGUUAUGGUGGGGACUCAGUGGAGACCGCCGGGGUCAACUCGGAGGAAGGUGGGGAUGACGUCAAGUCCUCAUGCCCCUUAUGUCCAGGGCUUCACGCAUGCUACAAUGGCUGGUACAGAGAGUGGCGAGCCUGUGAGGGUGAGCGAAUCUCGGAAAGCCGGUCUCAGUUCGGAUUGGGGUCUGCAACUCGACCUCAUGAAGUCGGAGUCGCUAGUAAUCGCAGAUCAGCAACGCUGCGGUGAAUACGUUCCCGGG
rnacentral:rRNA from 1 species